UACGGGGGGGGCAAGCGUUGUUCGGAAUUACUGGGCGUAAAGGGCUCGUAGGCGGCCAACUAAGUCAGACGUGAAAUCCCUCGGCUUAACCGGGGAACUGCGUCUGAUACUGGUUGGCUUGAAUCCGGGAGAGGGAUGUGGAAUUCCAGGUGUAGCGGUGAAAUGCGUAGAUAUCAGGAAGAACACCAAUGGCGAAGGCAGCUCUCUGGGACGGUACUGACGCUGAGACGCGAAAGCGUGGGGAGCGAACAGG
rnacentral:rRNA from 1 species